CUCUUACUGGAGGCACCAGUGAGGAAUAUUGGACAAUGGGGGCAACCCUGAUCCAGCAAUGCCAUGUGUGUGAAGAAGGCCUUAGGGUUGUUAAGCACUUUACUUGGGGAAGAAAGCUUUGGGGUUAAUAGCCUUGAGGAAAAGGACGUUACCCAAAGAAUAAGCACCGGCUAACUCCGUGCCAGCAGCCGCGGUAAUACGGGGGGUGCAAGCGUUAAUCGGAAUUACUGGGCGUAAAGGGUCUGUAGGUGGUUUGUUAAGUCAGAUGUGAAAGCCUAGGGCUCAACCUUGGAACUGCAUUUGAUACUGGUAAACUAGAGUACGGUAGAGGAAUGGGGAAUUUCUGGUGUAGCGGUGAAAUGCGUAGAGAUCAGAAGGAACACCAAUGGCGAAGGCAACAUUCUGGACCGAUACUGACACUGAGGGACGAAAGCGUGGGGAUCAAACAGGAUUAGAUACCCUGGUUGUCCACGCUGUAAACGAUGAGUACUAGCUGUUGGAGUCGGUGUAAAGGCUCUAGUGGCGCAGCUAACGCGAUAAGUACUCCGCCUGGGGGAUACGGCCGCAAGGCUAAAACUCAAAGGAAUUGACGGGGACCC
rnacentral:rRNA from 1 species